UACGUAGGGGGCGAGCGUUGUCCGAAUUCACUGGGCGUAAAGCGCGCGUAGGCGGACUCUUAAGUUGGGGGUGAAAUCCCGAGGCUCAACCUCGGAACUGCCUUCAAAACUGGGGGUCUUGAGGUAUGGAGAGGGAACUGGAAUUCCUGGUGUAGCGGUGAAAUGCGUAGAUAUCAGGAGGAACACCCAUGGCGAAGGCAGGUUCCUGGCCAUAUCCUGACGCUGAGGUGCGAAAGCCAGGGGAGCGAAC
rnacentral:rRNA from 1 species